GACAGAGGUGCCGAGCGUUAGGCGGAAUCACUGGGCUUAAAGCGUGUGUAGGCGGACUUCUAAGUGCCUUGUGAAAUCCCACGGCUCAACCGUGGAACUGCUGGGCAUACUGGGAGUCUUGAGCCACUUAGGGGCUGUCGGAACAGACGGUGGAGCGGUGAAAUGCGUAGAUAUCGUCUGGAACGCCAACGGUGAAAACAGACAGCUGGGAGUGUGCUGACGCUGAGACACGAAAGCCAGGGGAGCGAACGGG
rnacentral:rRNA from 1 species